CCAAAGCAGAGUAACUGUGCUUUGCGUCCAAGUUGAUACCUGUGGAGAGGAAAGGAAAGAGAGAUUGAUACCUGUGGAGAGAAAAGGAGAGAGAGUGGGUAACACGAGGAGAGAUCGAGGAAACCUGUACUUACGCCGCUGCCUGUGGAGAGAAAAGGAAAGAGAGAGUGAGUAACACAAGGAGAAACAGAGGAAACCUGUACUUACAGUACGCUGUGUUCAGCCCAGAGGUGAGAGCCAUUCAAAGCAAACUAACUGUGCUAGUGUGCCCAAGUUGAUGCCUGUGGAGAGAAAAGGAGAGAGAGUGAAUAACACGAGGAGAGACCGAGGAAACCUGUACUUACGCCGCUGCCUGUGGAGAAAGAGAAAGCGACCGUUGCCUGUGGAGGAAGAGAAAGAGAGUGAGCACCCCGAGAACGAACUGUGUGAACCAGUACUUACCGUGAGCUGUAUUCAGCGAAGAGGAGGAAGAAGGAGGGCGCUACGGAUACCUAAGACUCAGGCCGGGGCCCGAGUCCCACGCCCCGGAUCCCCGUGGCCCCCUUGCUCCCC
ensembl:lncRNA